rnacentral:lncRNA from 1 species
ACUAGUUUUACUAUUUUAAUAUACUCCGACAUGCUCUUUCCUCCAAACAUCUUAAACAGUUUCUAGUAAUUAUUUCAAAUUGACUUGAAUAAUGAGCGUUCUGAGCGAUCAACAUGGUUUUUAAUCUGGGCCAUAGUGUCACCCUUCCCAGGAUUGCAGAUUGAAUGGUGGUGUUGUAUCACAUGUUCUUGCUUAAGAAAAGCGUGAAUCUAGCUUGCUAUGUGAAAUUUUUGGCGUAAUGAAGUUACCUAAAAGUACUCUGCAAUGGCUUACUUCUGUUAUAUCACCAAUUCUCCCCAAAACUUGAGCUGUUAGGAAAUGGGCCGAGCAAUGCAUGUCAAGCUAUUCUGAACUCCCAUCAUGCGCAACCCUGUCUCUUGCAUGGAGCGGUGGACAACUGAACUUAUUUGGUGCACAUACACACAAAAUAGAGUGCAGUAUAACUGACAUAACAUGGAACAAACACAGAUAAUGACGCUUGAACCCUGGGCCUGGAACUAUAGCUUGGAUACUAUGUUAAAUCACCAAUUGUCCCCAAACCUUGAGCUUUUCGAAAAUGUUCCUGACAAUCAAUAUCAAAGCUAUUAAACAAUCUCAAGUACUCUUGGAAAUGGUGCACCGUAUCCAUAUAAUUGCUUGCCACCUACGCUUCACCAUCCAUUCCAAGUUUAAAAGCGGAAUCAUUAAGAACCAAACGCUGCUGUAGGAUCUCCAAAAAGAAUGAAAUAAAAAGGAAUGAACUCAUGUAUUGAGCUAAGCAAUCAUUGGAAAGCUCCUAAAAGCCAUGAUAUUCUAUCAAGGCAUAAUAAACAUACGGGAAACAGCCUUGCCUCGUAAAUUUGUGUAAAAAGAAGCCUUUGUUUCUGCCGUAUUGUAAGUAGAAAAAAGCGG